UACGUAGGGACCGAGCGUUGUCCGGAUUCAUUGGGCGUAAAGAGCUCGUAGGCGGCCACUCAAGUCGAAUGUGAAACCUCGAGGCUUAACCUCGAGCCUGCAUUCGAUACUGUAGAGCUUGAGACCGGAAGAGGUAAGUGGAACUGCGAGUGUAGAGGUGAAAUUCGUAGAUAUUCGCAAGAACACCAGUGGCGAAGGCGGCUUACUGGUCCGGUUCUGACGCUGAGGCGCGAAAGCGUGGGGAGCAAACAGGG
rnacentral:rRNA from 1 species